rnacentral:lncRNA from 1 species
AAUUACCUAAUUAUGUCUUUUUGGAGCUAAAUGGGUUAAUUAUCCCAUUUUAGAGGAAAGCAAGCUAAGUAUAUAAUAUUCAUGAGCUAACCAAGGUUCUUAUGCCAUUUUGAGCUUAUUAUGGUAUUUUGGAGCUAAAUGGGCUAAUUAUGUCAUUGUUGGGUUAAUUAAAGCACGGAUAAUAUGAAAGAGGAGAAGAAAGAGGAGGAGG